rnacentral:rRNA from 1 species
UACGUAGGUGGCAAGCGUUGUCCGGAAUUAUUGGGCGUAAAGCGUGCGCAGGCGGUUCGUUGUGUCGGUGGUGAAAUCCCCGGGCUUAACCUGGGAAUGGCCAUGGAAACUGGCGAACUGGAGUGUGGCAGAGGGGGGUGGAAUUCCGCGUGUAGCAGUGAAAUGCGUAGAGAUGCGGAGGAACACCAGUGGCGAAGGCGGCCGCCUGGACCUGACCUGACGCUGAGGCGCGAAGGCGCGGGGAGCGAACGGG